UCUAGCCAUGGGCAGGUUGAAGGUUGGGUAACACUAACUGGAGGACCGAACCGACUAAUGUUGAAAAAUUAGCGGAUGACCUGUGGCUGGGGGUGAAAGGCCAAUCAAACCGGGAGAUAGCUGGUUCUCCCCGAAAGCUAUUUAGGUAGCGCCUCGUGAAUUCAUCUCCGGGGGUAGAGCACUGUUUCGGCUAGGGGGCCAUCCCGGCUUACCAACCCGAUGCAAACUGCGAAUACCGGAGAAUGUUAUCACGGGAGACACACGGCGGGUGCUAACGUCCGUCGUGAAGAGGGAAACAACCCAGACCGCCAGCUAAGGUCCCAAAGUCAUGGUUAAGUGGGAAACGAUGUGGGAAGGCCCAGACAGCCAGGAUGUUGGCUUAGAAGCAGCCAUCAUUUAAAGAAAGCGUAAUAGCUCACUGGUCGAGUCGGCCUGCGCGGAAGAUGUAACGGGGCUAAACCAUGCACCGAAGCUGCGGCAGCGACACUGUGUGUUGUUGGGUAGGGGAGCGUUCUGUAAGCCUGUGAAGGUGUGUCGUGAGGCAUGCUGGAGGUAUCAGAAGUGCGAAUGCUGACAUAAGUAACGAUAAAGCGGGUGAAAAGCCCGCUCGCCGGAAGACCAAGGGUUCCUGUCCAACGUUAAUCGGGGCAGGGUGAGUCGACCCCUAAGGCGAGGCCGAAAGGCGUAGUCGAUGGGAAACGGGUUAAUAUUCCCGUACUUGGUGUUACUGCGAAGGGGGGACGGAGAAGGCUAUGUUGGCCGGG
rnacentral:rRNA from 1 species